rnacentral:rRNA from 1 species
GUUCUCCUACGGGACGCAGCAGUGGGGGAUAUCGCACAAUGGGGGGAACCCUGUUACAGCGACGCCGCGGGGGUGAAGAAGCGCCUCGGCGCGUAAAGCCCUGUCAGCAGGGAAGAAAAUGACGGUACCUGAAGAAGAAGCCCCGGCUAACUACGUGCCAGCAGCCGCGGUAAUACGUAGGGGGCAAGCGUUAUCCGGAUUUACUGGGGGUAAAGGGGGCGCAGACGGCGAUGCAAGCCAGGAGUGAAAGCCCGGGGCCCAACCCCGGGACGGCUCUUGGAACUGCGCGGCUGGAG